CAUGCACCGGUGGGGUCCCUCUGCCUGGCCUGUGCCCUCUUGCAAUCAAGAACCCCUCAGGGGAUGUUGGAAAGCCAGUUUCACCCCAAUCCCCACAGGCCAGGCUGAGGGACCCCACUGGUGCAUG
rnacentral:pre_miRNA from 1 species